rnacentral:rRNA from 1 species
UACGGAGAGUGCAAGCAUUAAUCGGAAUUAUUGGGCGUAAAGGGCGCGUAGGCGGAAAGAUAAGUCAGAUGUGAAAUUCCAAAGCUCAACUUUGGAGCUGCAUUUGAAACUAUAAUUCUAGAGGGAUGGCGGAGAAAACGGAAUUCCACGUGUAGCGGUGAAAUGCGUAGAUAUGUGGAAGAACACCAGUGGCGAAAGCGGUUUUCUAGCUUUAAACCUGACGCUGAGGCGCGAGAGCAAGGGGAGCAAACAGG